UAACUCAGUACUCGGGGUCUGAAGCGCUCUGCUCGAAAAACGGCUACAUUUUUCCCUACAGCUGGUGUCCGGCCCGGCUCUUUCACGCUGCCUCAAGCUAAACAUUGGAUGUUUAACCGCUGCUUUUCGCCCUCGGGUGAAAACCAGCGGGGGAACAGCCAGCAUGACAGGGCCGGCGUGUCAGAAGCUCCAAGGAUGUGAGGCCUCACAGUCUCUGAUGGGGCCGCUUUCACAGACCUUACCGUCAGCGGCACGGACAACUUCGGAUCCAGCAGCAGAGUGGCUCCGUUAAUGCAUUCAUUCCACACGGAAAUUGUAGCAGCCCUGGUGGAGUGAGUCUCGGAAAUAUAUCAGUAUCUACUCCUGUACGAGCCAAGCUCUGUUUCAAUCACCUGGGAAUGGUGCAACCCAAAGUUUUUUAUAUUAUCAACAUUGCUAGUUCUGAGCCUCUAAGCUCUUCGCGAACUUGACGUAUUGUUGUAUAUGUGUGACCAUAACCGAAGGUUCAUGAGGUAUGUCAUGAAUUAGUUUGAGAUUUUAUGUCUAUUCUGCUUGUACAAAUAUUAAAACAUAAUAUUAUUUGCAGAUGUAA